ensembl:processed_transcript Gm38182 predicted gene, 38182
AGCACAUCCCCGAAACUGGUGAAGUCGUGGCUGUAGGAGAAUGUGUGCAAGCCCCGCCCAACACUGACUGGCGUUUCUCUCAAGCCCAGAGACCCGGCACGAGCGGAUCCCAAAAUGGUGAUGAAACUGGCACCUGGCCCAACAACCAGUUUGAUACAGAGAUGCUGCAAGCCAUGAUCUUGGCCUCUGCCAGCGAAGCUGCUGAUGGGAGCUCUACCCUGGGAGGGGGCGCUGGCACCAUGGGUCUGAGCGCUCGAUACGGACCCCAGUUUACCCUGCAGCACGUGCCUGACUACCGCCAGAACGUGUACAUCCCUGGCAGCAAUGCCACGCUGACCAAUGCCGCUGGCA